rnacentral:rRNA from 1 species
AGUGAACGCUGGCGGUAGGCCUAACACAUGCAAGUCGAACGGCAGCACAGUAAGAGCUUGCUCUUACGGGUGGCGAGUGGCGGACGGGUGAGGAAUACAUCGGAAUCUACUUUUUCGUGGGGGAUAACGUAGGGAAACUUACGCUAAUACCGCAUACGACCUACGGGUGAAAGCAGGGGAUCUUCGGACCUUGCGCGAUUGAAUGAGCCGAUGUCGGAUUAGCUAGUUGGCGGGGUAAAGGCCCACCAAGGCGACGAUCCGUAGCUGGUCUGAGAGGAUGAUCAGCCACACUGGAACUGAGACACGGUCCAGACUCCUACGGGAGGCAGCAGUGGGGAAUAUUGGACAAUGGGCGCAAGCCUGAUCCAGCCAUACCGCGUGGGUGAAGAAGGCCUUCGGGUUGGAAAGCCCUUUUGUUGGGAAAGGAAAGCAGCAGGUUAAUACCCCGCUGUUCUGACGGUACCCAAAGAAUAAGCACCGGCUAACUUCGUG